GGGGGGGGGGGGGGGGGGGCUGGGGGGGGGCGGGUCGAGCGGGAGGGCCCUGGUUGGGUGGGGUGCUCGGGGGGCGCGCGGGUGAGUAACCCGUGGGUAACCUGCCCUUGACUUUGGGAUACCUUGAGGAAACUGGGGCUCAUACCGGGUAGGAGCUCCUGCUGCAUGGUGGGGGUUGGAAAGUUUCGGCGGUUGGGGAUGGACUCGCGGCUUCUCAGCUUGUGGGUGGGGUAGUGGCUUACCAAGGCGUUGACGGGUAGCCGGCCUGAGAGGGUGACCGGCCACAUUGGGACUGAGAGACGGCCCAGACUCCUACGGGAGGCAGCAGUGGGGAAUAUUGCAAAAUGGGCGGAAGCCUGAUGCAGCAACGCCGCGUGCGGGAUGACGGCCUUCGGGUUGUAAACCGCUUUCGCCUGUGACGAAGCGUGAGUGACGGUAAUGGGUAAAGAAGCACCGGCUAACUACGUG
rnacentral:rRNA from 1 species